rnacentral:rRNA from 1 species
UGGGGAAUUUUGGACAAUGGGCGAAAGCCUGAUCCAGCAAUGCCGCGUGUGUGAAGAAGGCCUUCGGGUUGUAAAGCACUUUUGUCCGGAAAGAAAUCCUUGGCUCUAAUACAGUCGGGGGAUGACGGUACCGGAAGAAUAAGCAUCGGCUAACUACGUGCCAGCAGCCGCGGUAAUACGUAGGGUGCAAGCGUUAAUCGGAAUUACUGGGCGUAAAGCGUGCGCAGGCGGUUUGCUAAGACCGAUGUGAAAUCCCCGGGCUCAACCUGGGAACUGCAUUGGUGACUGGCAGGCUAGAGUAUGGCAGAGGGGGGUAGAAUUCCACGUGUAGCAGUGAAAUGCGUAGAGAUGUGGAGGAAUACCGAUGGCGAAGGCAGCCCCCUGGGCCAAUACUGACGCUCAUGCACGAAAGCGUGGGGAGCAAACAGGAUUAGAUACCCUGGUAGUCCACGCCCUAAACGAUGUCAACUAGUUGUUGGGGAUUCAUUUCCUUAGUAACGUAGCUAACGCGUGAAGUUGACCGCCUGGGGAGUACGGUCGCAAGAUUAAAACUUAAAUGAAUUGACGGGGUCAUAGCUGUUUCCU